rnacentral:lncRNA from 1 species
CAAAAUACUGUCACAUGUUUCGAAUAAAGACUACAAAAAUAAAAAAGAUGAGUGCAAGCAAGCACACAUUUAUUAUACACAAAAAAUAUAAUAAUUAUUGUAAAUGCCCAAUGGCACUGAGUAUUGUAUCAUGGCCAACACUUCUUUCUUGAUUGACCAUGACACGUUCUUCUUAUUCAUUCAUUGAAUUCCAUUGCUGUGUAUUGCGAUGCCUUAUAUUGACACUUUACACGGCGGUAACAUAUUCAUCACACCACUGGAAGAACCCAUAUAAUCAACACUUGUAGUACAUCUUGAUCGGGUUAUUUGGGCUUGCCGAUACUUUCGUAGCACAAUCUAUAUUGCAUUUAGGGCAUUGCCGAGUUGUGUAUCCUUGAUUACUUGUAGAAUGAGAUGAUAUUGUUAGGGCCUACAAUAAUCGCAUCAUAAACACAAUAUGAAGGACAACAUAACCAUGUACUUCAAGCACAUCGUAACAUAUUGCAAAUAUGUCAAUGAACAAAGUACAUUGAAAAUGCAAAGAUCAUGGCAAAUUCCAAAUACAAAGAUAAAUUUGAAAUUUUAUACAAAAUUGUAUAAACAGCUACUCUAGUUGAAACAUGUUGAAUUCAUGCAUUUUAAACAAAAUACAUAGUGGAAUUUUUUUUUUUUUGACACUUUUAUACAAAAAUGUACUUGAGUGGGUAGCAGUGUAAUGAUAACCAAAGUUUAAACAUAGCUAAUAAUACAUUAGGAGACAGGAUUAUGAGUACAGUAUCACCAUUCAAGCAUCACAUAUCACGAAACCUGUUAUAGAGACAGACAAUAAAAGCAUGAACCAUAUCACAGAUCACAGAAAUCAUAAAACCUAUUAAACAUUUAUUUCCACUCAGCGAACAUGUUAUAGAGAGAGACAAUAAGAGCAGAAACCAUAUCACAGAUCACAGAAAUCAUAGAACCUAUUAAACAUUUAUUUUCACUCAGCGAACCUGUUAUCGAGAGAAACAAUAAGAGCAGGAACCAUAUCACAUAUCACAGAAACCAUAAAACCUAUUAAACAUUCCAUAUAACUCACCGAACUUGAUUUAGAGAGAGACAAUAAGAGGGGGAACCAUAUCACAGAAAUCAUAAAACCUAUUAAACAUAUUGCAUAACUCAGUAAACCUAUUAUAGAGAGAGACAAUAGAGUUACAUGAUAAUGAGGGGCUCUGUCUUUCAUUUGUGGUAAUUGUAAAGAAUUUUAGAAUUUUAUACAAAAUUGUACCUGAGUGGGUAACACUGAAACGAUAAACAAUCACUGUCUCAUAUAGAGGAGGGCACCUCCAGAUCAUAACAGCCAAUGCGACCACCCAACUCAUGGGUUUUUAUAAAAUUUCUAAUAUUAUGAAUAUGUAUAGUUACAUAUUUCAAAAAAAAAAAAAAAGACCAACCAGGAAGUCAUCCCCGCUAUUGCAUAUCGUGGAUAAGUCCCUAAUGGUUCAGUCCUCCAUCCAUAUUAAGUUGUCCUCUACAUCAUCUCCAUGCAUAUUAAGUCGUCCUCAAAACCAUCUGGGACAAACAUAAGGGACCUUCAAUUUUCCUAAUAAACCAACCCAACAGUUGCAGCAAUCAUGUAUGCAGGGCUCUUCUAAAAAUGGAUAUCAAAGUAUAAGGCCCCCACCAACUAAAACCAUGAAGACAUCCACACUUCUUUAUUAGAGGCCACAACAACCCACAAUUUCACACUACCGAUUUCUUCACAAACUGAUGAAAUGACAUACCUUGAGGAAACAAAUCACCUUGCGAAAUUCCCAGGACACCAUAUCCUGAGUUCGCAAUCAAUCCCAUCUUUUCCAGAGCCUUCCUCCAAAGGUCAGCACUAAGUCACAAACAGCCCCAUAAAGCACAAUUGAAGACUUCAUCAGAUAUCAUCAUAUCAUGUCAAGACUACUAAAAGUGAACCACUGAAAAUUUAUCCAAUUCCAGAACCUAGCUGGAUCCAGCUAAAUAAUCUCAAUUAGAUUAAUUCACAACAUCCUAACAAGAUACAACAAGCAUUUCCUUGAGAUCUCCAUCUUGAAAGGUCACCACAGAUAGGCAGCAAGAAACAAUCCCAACAAAAAAAAGUCCAAAACAAUUGAGAAAUGGUUCACAAAGACAUCAUAUAGUUGCUUGUAUUUGCAAUUAUUCUAAAUGUAUAGCAAUUAAACACCCCCAAAAAAAUCGAAACUAAAAGUGGGUGUGGUUUGUAUAAGGUUUAAUAAAAUUAGGGCCUAUGGAGAGGAUGAAAUAAGCUUGAAUACGAGUCUUGUUUCAUGAAAUUUGGGUGAGAACACGAUGAAAAAUCGAGUAAUAUGCGUAGAGAGAGAAUCCCUAUUUCCAGUGCUCUGCCUCCAGAAAAAUCGAGUAAAAUGUGAAGAGUACCUGUGCUUCUAGCUGAGAGAGAGAGGUCUGCUCCCUGUAGAUAGAAGCGCCCUGUCGAGAGAGAGAGAGAGCUCGCUGCGGUGCUGCGAUGGAGGUCGCUGCGGUGCUGCGAUGGAGGUCGCUGCGGUGCUGCGAUGGUUUUCGCAGUAGAGAGAGAAGGAGUUUGCAGCCAAAUCUUUCCUAGAGAGAGAGAGAGGCUUGCAGCGGCGUCUUCAUCAUGAGAGGAGAGAGGGUGAGAAGCCUAUUUUCCAUAGCCUGUGCGAAUGGCAGGAAACAGUGGGGAAAUUUUAGAACGCAUCACCGUUGAAUUUCGAUGGUUCAAACGCAGCCGUUGGUCGCAACUCAACUUUAUACGUGAAUGGGCGUAGCAUAUAUAUAUAUAUAUAUAUAUGAAAAAAUCUUUGCAAAGCCUUCAGACCAGAGUUUACAGUGAUUUCACC